GUUUUCUUAUUUCACAUGUGAUUAUGCUACUGAAAAGGGAAUGCUUUUCUAUGGGAACCAAUGCCUUGAAAAAAAAUAAUAAAAAUAAAUAUUUGAGUGGAAGCCCAGUGUGUAAGUAUGUGAAGCCCAAAUUUUCCCUCCCCAGUUCUGGAUGGACUGGUCUCCUAGGCCCAACAUUUAUUCACUAGCAAUGGAAUUUGUGUCUUAAUUUCCCUUUCUCUCCACCUGCAAGGGACACUGCGCCAGAGGAGUAAAAUUCCUGUCUAGCUCAGCAGUUCUAAAGGGGAGCAAAGCCUCCUGGGCACUAUUUGGACAGAGAGAGACGGGCUUUCGAGUUUUGGUGGAGUUUGGACAGACCGAGCAUCUACUGCAGAAAUCAUGGAUGAAGAAGUGAGUGCCUGUCUUCCCUGAACAUACACACUGUCCAUUGAGUCUCCCAUAGAGUUGAUGUACAGAAUAGAGUGGUGAUGAGGAGCUUUGGAUCUGAGGGGAGAGGCAGACCUAGGUUUGAAUCCCAGAAGUGUCACCAAACAGAUAACCUGACCUCAAAGCCUCAGUAAUCUCAUCUGUGUCAUCGGGAAAAUCAAGACGGUGACCACAUAGGGUUGCUGGGAAGAUUCUACAAGGACAGUCUUGCACACACCAAUGCUCUGGAAGACGUGGCAAAACACCCUGUCAGCCAACAGCUUGUGCCACAGCCAUUUUUCCUUGUGACAGCUCAUAAAAGGCUGCAGACUAAUUCCUGCGAGAAUAUGUAUGAGAAAAUACAGAAACGCUGUCAAGAAAAUCAAGAAAGAGGCAACUAAUCCCCUCCCUGAGUCUGCCACAGGUCCCAUUGAACAGAGCCUCUGCUGGAAGAAAUGUAGAAAGGGAGCUGCCUUGAUUUUCUAGGUGAGUGGCACUGAGCUCCCAGGUAGGGGUAAGGUGGAGUUUCUUUGGCUGCUGCAGCCUUUGGGAUCUAGCCUUUCCAUUAUCCAUUAAGCUAGAGAUUUUGUUCCAGAUAUAUUUUUUCCUUCAGUUUGAGGAGUAAGAGAAUGGUCAAGGAAGGUGUGAUCUCAGUGUGUGCCCUCAGAUUCACUUCUCUUCUGCUCUGCUCUCUAUGGCCAUGGGGCUGACCCCUGCCUGCAGGCUGGUUCUCAGCCUCCUACAGCUGGCUUCUGCUUGGAGCAGAAGUGGUGAGCGGAAGGGGGUUGCAGGAGGAA